UGAAGUCCAGUACACCACUUAAUUCUAUAACAUUAAUCACAGACAAUACAGGGACACUGUUGCUAACUUUAUUCUUCUGAGUCCUUACUGUAAAAUGCUACAGCAGUGAAUGCAAAGAAAUAUCAUAGUUCUGAAAUAAUGAUGGAACUGAAGAAGGUCAUGUGAUGCAAACACUUGUGAAAUUAGUAGAAUUAUGUAUUUUUUGCCAAGGCUUAUCUUCUGAGACUGUGGUUGUUUACAGGAGCUCUAGUACAGAAGCCAUGAAGAAAGAUGAUAUGAGGAGGCUGAUUCUGCAAUCUUAUUCGGAUGAAUCAGGACUGAUCAGUGAAUGCAUUCAUUUUCAUGAGGGAGAAGCAAAAGCAGAUAAAGUAGAAGAGAUGAAGUAUGUCAGAAGAGCACCUUUAUACUGUUGACUACUAAAUGGCAGGUUUGAUGAGAGCAGGCAAAAAUAUUCAGAAUUCAAUAGAUGUCAAGCAAUGAAAAUGCCUCAAGCACUUUCAAUAUCACCAUGUUUUAUAGAUGAAUGAAAGAAACAGAGCUUCAGUGUGCACAGGUAUUCUACAAGUGAGGUUAAAAUUGCUGGAGUUGCUACCUGUGAGGGGUACAGGGCAUAGUUUUGUCUCCCCUCCACGUAGCACCGUUGCUGCAAUUGUCAAAUAUGGGGUUAUUUUAGAUGUUCCGGAAAGUUAACCUCAAAACUCUCUUCGUCAUUAUGGCUGAGAAAGAAUACCAUUAUCCAGUAGAUGAUAACAAAUAUUAUGGAACAAUUUCAAGCUUGGAGCUGUGUGGGGAAUGCUGCACAAGAAGCUGCGCCAGCAGACCUGAACAAGAGCACGAACAUCCUGACCCUCAUCAGCUGCAAACCAUGGCAGUCAAGAGGAGUCAAAGUUAGAGCACUGAGAUAAUCUCUGAGAACUGUAGAUGUUGAAACAAAGAAGUCACUGAAGACAAAGAUAUAAUGUACCUCAGACUUUCCCAGGAGCUAAUGAAAGUCUCCAGUGUGGACUAAGGGGACAAAAGAAGUGUGUUCAAGGAAAAUUGAAAGUAAUGAUAUGGCAGAAAGUGUUAACAGAGAAAUGUGCUUAUACAUCUGAGAACAAAUAAGUUGUUCAAGCAAAGGCACGUGAACAAUAAUGUGAUCAGUUGAGAAAAGCGUAUGAUGUUGCAAAAAGUACUAAAAAGAAACUAACAUAUUAACAUUUACUAACCGCUAGGCAGGGGUCUAUACAAAGUCUAUAAUCUUGCUCAAUAAAUGAUUUCUGUUGCAUCACAACUGGAGUCCGUGCUUCAGUUGCCACAGAGCUGCAGUAGGGAAGCAGAAAUGAGAUAUUUUUAGCACUUGAGGAUGUCAGUUUGGUGCCAUCUUUGUCCCU